rnacentral:tRNA from 1 species
CAGAGGGUAGUUUAAGUAAAACUUUAGCUUUGGGAGCUAAGAAUUGAGAGCCGCUCUUACCCUUUGA